GCCUUCGUAGUGUACCGGUAGCGCACUGGGCUGGUAUUCGAGAGGUCCAGAUUCGAGUUCCGACGAGGGCA
rnacentral:tRNA from 1 species